CUUGAAUGGGAAUCCACAACCUCCUCUCCAAUUGCUCAUUAAUCUGCUUGUUCAGACAUUCCUCUGCCUUUUGGCUGGCUUGACCAACCCCUGAGGAGGAUAAUACCCAGAGAGGAACCACUUCUUGUGAGCAAUCUGUGAAAUGCAAGUUUUUGAGGGAGUUCCCUAAGAGAACAAUUGGAAGACUGAACACAUUUACUUACUUCUACCAAGAUGCUGCAAAAAGUUUGUUUUGAGAGAAGUGUGGAGAAUGACAAAGAGUUUGGCUUGAAGAAGAAAUGCUGGUGAAAAGGGACAAAAUUGGAGGUGAGGUGCUAGGUGUGGUGGUGCAUACCUGUAAU